UACCGUCACUCUGUCGGACUACACCGCGUUUUUAUUGUUUUUUAACGUCCUGACAUCGGUGUAAAAACUCCUGAACGGUUGUUGAGACAUUGAUCUGCUGUCUGACUGUCUCAUAACGCCGUCACUCAACAAUAUAAAACUUAACAUCGACGUCAAACGGUGGAAUAUCUGCUUCAUCUGGAGAACCAUCCGGGACGGUGCUGCAUCACGGACACCUGAGUCUGACAUGUCAGAAGCUGAGAAGUCUGCUACACCACAAAGAUGGUGACCGUUGAGAGUGAGAGGUAUCCGUCAUUUCACACUUAACUUUUGGACCUUUUGACUGCGACAGAUUGAUAAGUCUACAGUCAGCGCUCUGAGAGCUCGUAAACAGGAGCUCCUGACCAUCUCUAAUGUUGCUGUCGGAGACUGCCCCCCCUCUCCCCCCCGCACCGCACCCCCCACCAUGAAGUCGGCUCAUUUCUUUGACAUGAUGGACAAGAUGGAGGAUGACUACAUUCCUUAUCCGAGGAUCGAGGAGGUGUUGGAGAGGGGCGAGCCGUACCCUCAGGUCAUCCUGCCGGAGUUCGGAGGUUACUGGAUCGAGGAUCCUGAGGCUCCUCCGCCUCCUGCACCUCCUCCCGCCUCCCUGGAGAUCAAAGGGGAGGAGGAGGAGGAGGGUGAGGAGGGGGCAGGAACAGAGAAGGAAGAUAGACCCCCAGGGGAUUAUGGGUACAGACUGGAGGAGAUCAGUGAGGCUGCCCGGGCGUACAGGAAGCACUUUCUAGGCAGGGAACAUUUGAACUUCUGCUCAUCAAGCAGUGUUGGAAAUCUGCUGCUGUCUGUGAGACAUGAGGAGGAGAAGGAGCAGGAGUCCCUUCAUGUGAUCAUCAGGUCUCGGGUGAAAAGCGUCUACCACAGAUUGUCCCUGACAGAGCUGCCCGACAUCCCCAGUGUACCAGAGCUCGCCAAGCUGCUGUGUGACGACGCUGCAGGUCUGCGCUUCAGCCCCGUCCUCUACCCCAAGGCAUCUCAGCUGAUUGUGAACUACGAUGAACAUGAGGUGAACAACACCUUCAAGUUUGGAGUCAUUUACCAGAGAUUUGGACAGGUGUCUGAGGAGGAGCUGUUCAGGAACAACGAGGAGACGCCGGCCUUCACCGAGUUCCUGCAGCUGCUGGGAGACACGGUGGAGCUGCAGGACUUCAAAGGGUUUCGGGGAGGUCUGGACGUGUCUCAUGGUCAGACGGGCUCUCAGUCCGUCUACACCGUCCACCGACAGCAAGAGAUCAUGUUCCACGUCUCCACCAAACUGCCCUUCACUGAGGGAGACACACAGCAGCUCCAGAGGAAACGCCACAUAGGAAAUGACAUCGUGGCGGUGGUGUUCCAGGAGGAGGCCACACCUUUUGUCCCCGACAUGAUCGCCUCCAACUUCCUGCAUGCCUUUAUCCUGGUGCAGGUGGAGGAGCCCUGCUCUGACACCACCUCGUACAAGGUGUCCGUCACAGCACGAGAAGACGUCCCUCCGUUUGGCCCGCCCCUCCCAAACCCAGCUGUUUUUAAGAAGGGUCCAGAGUUCAGAGAGUUCCUUCUCACCAAACUCAUCAACGCAGAGCUGGCGUGCUACAAGAGCGACCGUUUCGCCCGGCUGGAGGAGCGUACCCGGGCCGCCCUGCUGGACACCCUCCAUGACGAGCUGCACAGACGCUCCCAGAGCAUGCUGGGAUUGACGUCAGGUCUAGAGGAGGACGGGCGAGCUGAGAAUGGACACGCCCACGGUGGUCUGCUGGAGUCCAUCAAGAGGGCGAUGCGAGGGAGGAGCGUCUCCAUGGAGACCAUGUCGCGGGGCGGGGCAGGUCUGCCCACCAGUCUGAGUGGGGGGGGUCUGGCUCACAUCAGCAUUGAGUGUAACGUGAAAUCUCCUGUGAAGAGACGUUCAGGACUUUUUCCUCGUCUGCUGAGCGUCGACAGCCAAACAGAGAAACACAACCUGAGGAGCCUCCUCAGCGAGCAGAGGAGCUUCGACAGCUGCCACCCGACACUGGAGGUGAGGUCAGAGCUGCCGUCCAAUCCCAGCUCUCCAGAGGCGGGACAACGGGACAGGUCUCACAUAAAGAAGGAGAGCAGUAAGAUCUCCAGAUCGACAUCCAGCACCUGCAGCUUCACCGUCCCUGCUGACGACACACACCUGCUCGCCCAGGCUGCGCUGGUUGAAGGUCAAAGUUCAGCUCCGCUCAUCAUCUGUCGCAGCCCCACAGAGGUGAAAAAUAAAAACUCUCCCAGAUCCAACCUCAAGUUUCGCUUUGACAAGUUGAGUCACUCGGCUACACAGGGGAACUAAACUGAGAGCAGAGGGAGAUUAACAAUGAGGAGGUUCAGUCAAACGUCCAAGGAGGAGGAGGAGGAGGAGGAGGAGAACAUUAAUGUGAAGACACUGAUGGACAGUCACACACACUGAGGAUAAAAAGGGAAAUCACUUCAACAUAUUCGUCCUUCGCUGCUGCAGCUGCAUCUUUUCUGCUCAGAGGGAAUCAAACCUGCAGGACUGUGCAUGUCAACGCACACGCACACGCACACACACACACACACACACACACACACAUUACUUUCCGUAAUUUAAAUCCUCACACCAUGAAAACACGUUAAAUUUUCUUCUGCUGUGUCUCUGGAGGAGAUAAAUGACACAGAUGAUGUCAUAGUGAUGUCAUCAGGGUCACGUCAGACUGCGUGGGCUGCAUUUUGGUGUCGCACUGAUGCAGUUUGUCGAUUUGUGAGUUUGAUCUUUAACGGUCCCAGAAUUGUGGUGCAACUUUAGAAACAGUCUUUAUAUGAGUUCAUAUUUAACCUGUGCAGGUCCCACACAGCAAUAAGUUUCAUCAUGACAGGGACGUCCCUGUCUUUAAACCGAACAUGCCCUCCUGUGACGUAUGAUAAUGAUCUCAACCCAAAUCUAAGAGCGUCCCAGGUGAACCAGGUGAGCCGGGCCAUCAAACACUAAACGUACUGAGCAGAGCGACUCACAAAAACAGAGUCCUAAAAGACUGACAGAGAGCCUGCGCUCCAAACUGGAGGUGUUUGAAAGAUCCAUGUGCAUUAUGGGACAUGUAGGAUCUGGUGUUUCAUAGUGGAGGCUUAUAGUGCUUCUCAGAGUCGAGGAUGCAUUCUUGGUAGGACAGGUCCGACAGAGGAAAGGCAGGACUUCUUCCUGUUAUUCUGAGAAGAAGUGUGCAUCAUUGGAAAGCCCCGCCUUUAAAUCAAAGCAACGAUUUCAGAAUCCGUGAAAGAACUGCAGAUGUUACAAAUGAAGGUGGUAACAGCAAGACAGCUACGAACUUAACCAACCCAGUCACCAGAAUAAAUGUUGCCAUCGUACAUUUCUGCAAACCAUGGAAAAAUGUGUAUGUAUUAUGUAGCCAUACAUUAAAACUUAACGUUUAACAUGUGGUUACGUUUAGGCACAAAAUCCACUGAGUUAUGGUUAGAAAAGUGCAGAACCCGGAAAAAUCAACUCAUCCUCACUGUGACCUCGUCACAUGUCCACGUUUGGUCAUGGACUUUCCACGUCCACAUAUGGCGUCCAAGGUACCCUGGGUGUGUUGGUUGUUGACGUUCUGGGACGCCGUGUCAACUUCAGCCUGUUACAUGCAUUGUCUUUUUUCAAAAUACACUUCUGUUUUCACAGGAAAUGUACAGUUUAUCAUGCUGAUGUUUAAAGACGCCUUUUGAUUGGUUUCUGAUGCUGCAACUCACCGCCCAAAUGCUGGAUUUCAGUGACACCGGAGUGAGACCAGGCUCGAUAAAAUAACCACUUUUCCUGUCACUAUGCCGACAGGUCACUAAAAACAACCAUUUGUGUUGUUUGUUGGUGUUGAACGGUGGUCUGCGGGUUGGCAGGUGUCUCUCCGAGGUGUCACACCGUCCACCAUCAACACCUUAUGUUGGUGUCUUUUAGUGACCUGUCACUGCCGAUAGGUCCCCAAAAACUUUUUCUUACCAUAACCACAAGGUUUUUGUGCCUAAGCGUAGCCACACAUUAACCACAGCACUGCUAAAAAGUAAAGUUUCACCGUAUUCAUAUCAUAACGUACAAAAGUGACGUAUCUGUGGUUUGCAGAAACGUACAAUGCCAACAUUUGCCAACAAUUACCUAAUAUUGUUUUUGUUAUUUUUUGUUUUAAUAGACUCUAUUAGGGCCGAUGUCACAAUGAUGUCAUGUUAUCAGCUGGAGGUGCAGCUGCCUCUCCCCCACAGGGCUGUAGGCUCCAUAGGAGUGUUAAAAUGUGUUUGUCUUGUUGUGUUAUUGGGAGCCAGAAUAGAAGGAGUCAUGGCUCAAAACCAGCCGCCACUGCCCGUCAACAAAAACAAAGACAACUAUGGUUAAAUGUGAUAAGACCAAAGGACUGGACGGAGGCCAUCAUCAAAAAUGCUCACAUGUGCAGCGCACACUUCAUAUCAGGUUAGGGAAAAAGUAUUUCCUGUUGUAGGGAUGAAUAAGGUUAUGUGUAUUAAGGGUUAUCAUGUCCACCUCAUCAGAAACUGGGGAGGGAUUAAGAGGAAUAUUGGAUUUCUCUGGAACGCUAACUUUUUAGCACAUUAGCUAACGUUAGCUUCCAUAGCAAAACAAACAAGUGUGGUCCUCCUUUGUAAGAUUGGCUUCCUGUGACAUCAUCCAUCCACUGAGUGAGAGCAUACGGGUCGGCCAGUCUGGUCCCGUUGGUCAGUGUUUACUUAUUCAAGUAACACUGGCGGUCCCGGAGAGUGAGUGACCUGACAUGGUGCGUUGGUAAAUUCAGUCUGACGCUCUACACUAAAAUGAGAGCCCUGUUGGUGGAAGAAACGCAGCGUUAUAUUUCUACAUGAAUGAACCAACGGUUAAGUUAAUCACACAUUCACUCCGCUCGGCGCUCUGCUGCUCCGUCUCCACAGACAGAGUGUCCAGAGUGCGCUCUGCCACUCUGAGAGUGCGCUGCUCUGGAUAACCCAACGCUACAUUCAGACAGCGCUCCCAAUUUAUCAACGCUCCAGUUUGUGUCAGAGUGCGCUCCCACACUCAGAAUGAGUGUUUCUGAACGCACCACUCACAUCAUCUUCCUCCAUCAUCUAAAACAAGACAACACAACUUGUUAGCUAGCGCUAGCUAAUGUCUGUGGAGAACUGUUUUGCCUCCAGCUAAGCCCCGCCCACCAACAAACAUCAUACUGUUUACCAACAGUAAAGGGUCUAUAAAUGUAACAUGUUUUGGUAUUUGUUUUUCCCAUCAGCAGAUACAAAUAUUAAUGAAUGCACUUUGACAUUUAAGUUGAUAAAAAAAUAAGUCAUUAUCAGAUUACAAACUGAAGGUACCAGAGUGACGUCUGGUUCAUACUCUGUGAUCAGCAUUUAUUUAUUACAUCAGAAACAAGACAUUGCGUCUUUUUUGGCUAAACUUUGAAAAAAUAAAGUUUUCGCACAUUUAAAACUUUAAAUUCAGUUUUCCCAGAAAGUUUUGCUGCAGACAGAAGUCGAGAUUUUACUAAACACUUCAAUUAAUCAUUUUUUAAUCAGUUUCCUGCUGCGUGUCCAGGUUCAGGUCCUGCACGUUAAAUUAAUAAUAUAACCAGGGGUUAUGGUGAUAUCCUGCUGGAAGUCCUGAACAGAAACAUGCCAUAAUAAUAAAUGAAUCCUAAUUUAUCAGUCAAUAACUGUGACAUUACUGCAAUAUUUUAAUGAUUACAUACAAAUGUAUGUGAAUUUACAGCAAUUUCCUGUAAUUGAAAAUAUCCUCUGUUAAAAAAUGAUUUAUUUCUGUGAUGGAAAAUCAAAGGAAUGUUUAAUUUUAGGGUAAAUCACAUAAAUUCUACGUAUGCGUGUCUACAUUUACAUUCACAUUCUAAAAGAAAACAUUUCACUGUAAAAACAUGUUCGCUGCAUUAAUUUAUCCUUUCAUGUGACAUUAAAAAGUUUAAAUGUAACCUGCAGAAGCGCUCGCAAUAAUCACUUUAACCCUCGACAGCCACAAGCGAUCACUGCAUGUACAGGGUUGUGCAAAAGUUUGGGCACCUCUGGUCAAAAUUCAGUUUACUGUGAAAAGUUCAGUGAGUAGAAGAUGAACUGAUCUUCAAAAGUCAUGAAGUUAAAGAUGAAACAUUUAUUUUCGGUAAGAUGACUUUUUAAUUUCAAUGUUUUACAGUUUCAAAAUAACACUAAAGAAAAAGGGCCUGAAGCUAAAGUUUGGGCCCCCUGCAUGGUCAGUGCUCAGUAGCGCCCCCUUUGGCAGGUACCACAGCUUCCAAACUCUUUCUGUAUCCAGCUCAGAGUCUUUCAGUUCUUGUUUGGAGGAUUUCUUCUAGCUCUGUGAGAUUCUUGGGCCGUCUUCAUGCUCUGCUCUUUGAGCUCUAUCCACAGAUGUUUAAUGAUGUUUAGGUCGGGGGACUGUGAGGGGCGUGGCCAAACCUUCAGCUGGCUCCUCUUGAGGUCGUCCAUUGUGGAUCUGGAGGUGUGUUUAGGAUCAUUGUCCUGUUGUAGAAGCCAUCCUCUCUUCAUCUGCAGCUUUUUUACAGAUGCUGUGAUGUCUGGAAUUUAACUGAAUCCAUUCUUCCCUCUACCUGUGAAAUGUUCCCCGUGCCACUGGCUGCAACACAAGCCCAAAGCAUCAUCCAUCCACCCCCGUGUUUAACAGUUUGUUCUCCAAACAUACCUUUGCUCAUUGUGUCCAGAAAGUUCUGUUUUACCUUCAUCAGUCCACAGGACUUGUUUCCAAAAAGCAUCAGGCUUGUUCAGAUGUUCCUUUGCAAACUUGUGAGGCUGAAUGUUGUGGUGAGGACACAGGAAAGGUUUUCUUCUGAUGACUCUUCCAUGAAGCUCAUAUUUGUCCAGGUGUGUCUGCACAGUAGAACAGUGCACCACCACUCCAGAGUCUGAGAAAUCUUCCUGCAGGUCUUUUGCAGUCAAACAGAGGGUUGAUUUGCCUUUCUAACAAUCCUCCGAGCAGCUCUCUCAGAGAGUUUUCAGCUUGACCUCCACAGUUCCUGUUAACUGCCAUUUCUUACUGACAUGACCAACUGAGGAAACAGCUCCCUGAAAACACUUUGCUAUCUUCUUAUAGUCUUCAUCAGGUCUUUUAGUUUCAGAGUGCUAGGCAGCUGUUUAGAGGAGCCCAUGGCUGCUGACUGUUGGGACAAGGUUUCAGGAGUCAGAGGAUUUAUAAAGCUUUGAAAUCUGCAUCAGCUGGCCUUUCCUAACGAUGACUGUGAACAAGCCAGAGCCCUAACAAGCUCAUUAAGGUCUGAGUACAACUCAUCCUCGCUGUGACCUCGUCACAUGUCCACGUUUGGUCAUGGACUUUCCACAUCCACAUAUGACAUCCAAGGUACCCUGGGUGUAGACGUUGCACUAGACUUUUUCGUCGCCGGUCAUUUUGACCGACAGGGUCAUAAAAAUCCGGUCAUAAUCUAUUUUUACCGGUCAUUUUAAUGUUCGUUUUUAAAUGAUAAUAAAGAUAUUCAAAGACAUUUAGUUU